rnacentral:rRNA from 1 species
ACGGAAGGCAGCAGUGGGGAAUAUUGGGCAAUGGUCGAAAGCCUGACCCAGCAACGCCGCGUGAAGGAAGAAGGUCUUCGGAUUGUAAACUUCUUUUCUGAGGGACGAAGGACGUGACGUUACCUCAUGAAUAAGCCACGGCUAACUACGUGCCAGCAGCCCCGGUAAUCCGUAGGUGGCAAGCGUUAUCCGGAUUUACUGGGUGUAAAGGGCGCGUAGGCGGGGAUGCAAGUCAGGUGUGAAAUCUAUGGGCUUAACUCAUAAGCUGCACUUGAAACUGCAUCUCUUGAGUGCUGGAGAGGUAGACGGAAUUCCUUGUGUAGCGGUGAAAUGCGUAGAUAUAAGGAAGAACACCAGUGGCGAAGGCGGUCUACUGGACAGUAACUGACGCUGAGGCGCGAAAGCGUGGGGAGCAAACAGGAUUAGAUACCCUGGUA